GCGCUCUGUGAACCAGGAGGUGGGGCCUCAGCAGACACCGGGUCUGCUGUGCCUUGAUCUUGGACUUGCAGUCUCCAGAACGAUCAUUGAAAGAGGGACCCAGCCAACAAAGAUGAUGUCCAGCAAAGACAUGAAAGUGACCGAGCUGGACAUGACAUCUGAAUGGACUGGAACUGGAGUCGCGGAAGAUGGCGGUGAUCCCGGGAGGCCGAAGCUGCCGCCUCCCAGAGACUGUUCUUUGCAGCCGGAGGAGCUGAGUGCCGUUGAGCUGAUGGAAAAGUGCAGGGCAGGGCUGUGCCCACAAGAUGAGACGUCCCAGAGGCAGUGACGUGGGGAACACACGUCGCGUUUAAGGAACUCCUGAAGAGAUUCCACGGUCCUGAAAGCACAAAGGAUAGAACCUCGGAAGCUGACCCAAACUCAGAAAGAUGAUUCUCCAAUGCAUAGAAAAGAUGCUUUUUCAGUAUCGUAAGAUGUCCAGCAGCAAAGCCAGCUCUGUUCAAACUGCUCUUGGUAUGUCUUUGACAAAGAAAUAAAAUACUUGGAUUCUCA